UACGAAGGGGGCUAGCGUUGUCCGGAAUCAUUGGGCGUAAAGCGCGUGUAGGCGGCCCGGUAAGUCCGCUGUGAAAGUCGGGGGCUCAACCCUCGGAUGCCGGUGGAUACUGUCGGGCUUGAGUACGGAAGAGGCGAGUGGAAUUCCUGGUGUAGCGGUGAAAUGCGCAGAUAUCAGGAGGAACACCAAUGGCGAAGGCAGCACUCUGGGACGUGACUGACGCUGAGACGCGAAAGCGUGGGGAGCAAACAGG
rnacentral:rRNA from 1 species